UGGGGAAUAUUGGGCAAUGGACGCAAGUCUGACCCAGCAACGCCGCGUGAAGGAAGAAGGCUUUCGGGUUGUAAACUUCUUUUAAGGGGGAAGAGUAGAAGACGGUACCCCUUGAAUAAGCCACGGCUAACUACGUGCCAGCAGCCGCGGUAAUACGUAGGUGGCAAGCGUUGUCCGGAUUUACUGGGUGUAAAGGGCGUGUAGCCGGGUGUGCAAGUCAGAUGUGAAAUCUGGAGGCUCAACCUCCAAACUGCAUUUGAAACUGUGCAUCUUGAGUAUCGGAGAGGUAACCGGAAUUCCUAGUGUAGCGGUGAAAUGCGUAGAUAUUAGGAAGAACACCAGUGGCGAAGGCGGGUUACUGGACGACAACUGACGGUGAGGCGCGAAAGCGUGGGGAGCAAACAGGAUUAGAUACC
rnacentral:rRNA from 1 species